rnacentral:rRNA from 1 species
GGGGAAUAUUGCGCAAUGGGGGGAACCCUGACGCAGCAACGCCGCGUGAGUGACGAAGGCCUUCGGGUCGUAAAACUCUGUCAUAGGGGAAGAAGGAAGUGACGGUACCCUAUGAGGAAGCCCCGGCUAACUACGUGCCAGCAGCCGCGGUAAUACGUAGGGGGCGAGCGUUGUCCGGAAUCACUGGGCGUAAAGGGUGCGUAGGCGGCCAAUUAAGUCAGAUGUGAAAUACCAGGGCUCAACCCUGGGGGUGCAUUUGAAACUGGAUGGCUUGAGUGCAGGAGAGGAAAGUGGAAUUCCUAGUGUAGCGGUGAAAUGCGUAGAGAUUAGGAGGAACACCAGUGGCGAAGGCGACUUUCUGGACUGUAACUGACGCUGAGGCACGAAAGCGUGGGUAGCGAAC